rfam:Nomascus leucogenys chromosome 9, whole genome shotgun sequence.
GCUGGGCAUGGUGGUGCAUGCCUGUAAUCCCAGCUACUCGGGGCAGGGGCUGAGAUGGGAGGAUUGCUUGAGCCCAGGAGGUCAAGGCUGCAGUGGGCUAUGACCGUGCCACUGCACUCCAGCCUGGGCAACAGAGCAAGAACCCGUCUCUA